UCUGCAGAAAGGCGGGUGCCGGGUCAUUAGAGGAACAGCCACAGGAGGAGCCAGCUGGGGGCCCGUGAGGAAGCUCCACCUUCCCGGUGUGCAGACCCCCUCAGAGAUAUGACCAUCACCGACUACCAUGGCGACAGCCACUAACGGCACAAAGAAUUUGGAGUGUCUAGAAAAUGCAAAACUUCGCCGCACUUAGAAGACUGCUUCAAGAAUGCAAAGGACAUUUAUCAUCCUCUGACAACUGCUCCAAACUUCAUCAAAGCGCAUGAGAAGAAAGCACGUACUGUCGAAAGAAAAAAUCAAGGUGUCAGAUGAACGAUUACUAAAGUGAGGUUCAUCCUCAGCCUGGUUACAUUCUCAACUUCUCUAGUUCUGGAAGGAGGCCCAGGACGGUGCCACGGGGCUGUGCUCCACGGGAGUUCUCAGAAUCGAAGUGCCUGGAGGGUGAAUUGUGAAGUAUGACUCACAAACAUUUAUCCUCCUGUGAGUUGGUAUUAUUCCGCCUGAGAAUUCCUGUUAUUUUCUUAGCAGCAGAGGACUAUUGAUUGGAAUCUAUCAAGAAUAGAGCAGAUAGGUGUUUGUGGGGAAAUUACGAGCAUCCCGAGUCUUGCUGGCUUCAUCUCUGGGUGAGGACCGACGUGCAUGUACAAACACAUCCCAGCAAUGUUUUCCUCGUAUUGUUCCGUUUCCAAGUUUCUUUCUAGUUUCAGCAAAUAUUGUUAUUUUAAUUAUUUUAGACAUGUCUGGAGCUCUCCAGCUGCGGGCUCUCAGCUGCUUGUUCUGACUUAGAUCUCACAGGAUGUCCAGAGGGCAGUCAGGUAUUUAUUUGUUCUGCCUCAAAUUCUGACAAUAACCUUCCCGUCCCACCCUUAUCUUCCAGGGAUGUGGGAAAUAUCUGUGGGAUCUGUGGAUUUUUGUUGGAAGCACAGAAGGAAAUUUCUUUCCUAAACUUAAUAAGGAAAAGGUGGUCUGAACUCAGACCAGAUUCCAGAUGUAGUAGCUCAGGAUGGCAGAAGGGAAAGGCAGGAAGAAACCCCUGUCUUCAAGCUUAGCCCUACGCUGAUGAAAAAACUAACCUUGGAGCCACCCUACUUCCUGACUUCUUGUUACAGGAGCUCCUGAAUUUCCUAUUGGGUGCGCCAUUUUGGGACUGUCUUCUUCUGUUCCUUGCAGUGGAAAAUUCUCAGGACACAGUGACUAGAAGAUUCUUCUGAUGGUGUAGAGACCCUGAGAAUAAGGAGAAGUCCACCUACCUUCAUUAAGCAACCAUGGCGGCUGGUGUGAGUGACUGGCAAUAAUCAUUCUUUGAAAAGUUUUCAAAGGAGUGAUGAAAUUUGCACUUCUGGUGAAAAAAGAAAAAAUUUUUUUUUUUCCGAGUGAAAACAGAGAA